rnacentral:rRNA from 1 species
AUGCUGUGUUGGAAUGUGUGGGGCUUAAACAACCCUGCAAAGCGCUCGGUUGUUAGGGAGUUUGUGCAGGCAGCCAAGGUGAACCUAGUUUGCCUGCAGGAGACUAAGCUUGAUGCUUUGGACCAUUUUGAUGUAAUGCAAUGUUUAGGCCCGUCCUUUGACGGCUAUUAUUAUUUGCUGGCGUGCGAGACCCGUGGAGGGAUUGUUGGUGUGGGACACAAUGAUGAUGGGCAUCGAUAG